rnacentral:lncRNA from 1 species
CAAAAAGGGGAAAAGAGAUUACAGACACAGAAAAUGUCAGACAACAAAGAAAGGAAGAGUCAAGGAUUUCCUAAAGAAGAAUGAACUUCAUGAGCUUGAAAAAGAAAUAGCAGCUAUCUCUGCAGAAACUAAAGAAACAGAAAGACAAAUUUAUCAACAAGAUUCUGCCAUAGAGAAUACCAAACUUCAUUGUGAUAGCCUGGAAACUCAAAUCAAAUCCUUACAUUCAGAAAAUGUAAAGCUUAAAUUUGACAUAGAAACAGCCCAAGAAGAUUUUGAGGAACACAUGAUAAAAUAUAAUGCAUAUUAUGCAAAAAUAAAAGCACAUAAAAAUAGUUUGGGGGAAGUAGAGAGCAAAUGGUCAUUUAUGACUGAACUCCAUGAAAAGCGAGAUUUUGUUAAAAAAUUAAAGACAAUGAAAGAAGAACUUAUGCAAGAUCUUCAAAAUCCAGGAGGGAACCGAAUAACACAAGUACAGGAAGACAUUACAAACUUAAAGGAUAAAAUUAUAACUGUAAAAGAAUCUAUCAUUGAAAAAACUUGUUUUCUUGAGGAAGAAAAAAAGACACAUGAAAAAUUAAGAAAAGAAAUAGAGACCUUGCACCACCCAUCCACUGGAGUCAUCCUUGCUGACCACAAGAUAUCUCUUGAAACGGAGAUAAGCA